rnacentral:rRNA from 1 species
AACGAACGCUGGCGGCAGGCUUAACACAUGCAAGUCGAACGCCCCGCAAGGGGAGUGGCAGACGGGUGAGUAACGCGUGGGAAUCUACCCAGAUCUUCGGAACAACUGAGGGAAACUUCAGCUAAUACCGGAUACGCCCUACGGGGGAAAGAUUUAUCGGUUCUGGAUGAGCCCGCGUUGGAUUAGCUAGUUGGUGAGGUAAAGGCUCACCAAGGCGACGAUCCAUAGCUGGUCUGAGAGGAUGAUCAGCCACACUGGGACUGAGACACGGCCCAGACUCCUACGGGAGGCAGCAGUGGGGAAUAUUGGACAAUGGGCGAAAGCCUGAUCCAGCCAUGCCGCGUGAGUGAUGAAGGCCUUAGGGUUGUAAAGCUCUUUCAGUGGGGAAGAUAAUGACGGUACCCACAGAAGAAGCCCCGGCUAACUUCGUGCCAGCCGCCGCGGUAAUAC